rnacentral:lncRNA from 1 species
AUUUCGAGUAGGUCACUAAUUAUCACCGGGCUCUGAACCUGAGAAUUAGUUCUAGGAAUAUUCCAGACCUGAUCCAGCUCCAGAAACUUACCCACUUUGGAACUGAACAUGAGUCCAAGAAUGCUCUAGAAACAAAUGCUAACUCUAGAAUGGAUUGUCUGCUCCAAAAAAACCCUAGAGCUGACUCCCAGUUCUCCCCAUAGAGCCGAGAAUGAAAUACACCACCAGCUCCCAACACACUGUAAACCUGAGCCCCCCUUCCCAACCCAGCAAUUGAAAAAUGUGAACCAGCUCCUAAGCACUAGAAUUGACCACUAGUUCCUGGAGUUGGCUACUGGUUCCUUAUCACUGUUUUUCUUUCUUUCUUUCUUUUUUUUUUGAGAUGGAGUCUUGCUCUGUCUCCCGGGCUGGAGUGCAGUGGCGCGAUCUCGGCUCACUGCAGCCUCUGCCUCCCGAGUUCAAGCAAUUCUCCUGUGUCAGCCUCCCAAGUAGCUGGGAUUACAGGCACAUGCCACUAUGCCCGGCUAAUUUUUGUAUUUUUAGUAGGUCUGAUCCUGUUGGCCAGGCUGGUCUUCAGGUGAUCCACCUGCCUUGGCCUUCCAAAGUGUUGGGAUUACAGGCGUGAGCCACCGUGCUUGGCCUCCUUAAGCACUCUGAACCAAGUAUUGUUUCCAGCCUAAUACAUUGUGGAACAAGUGGCAAUUUCUAUAUGAACCUCAGGAACAAAGAACUACUUUCCAGCACCUUCUGAGUCUGAUUUUCCAGUUUGUAAGCCAGUAUGGUCCAGAUAAGCGUGAAACCCAACCCAUUCUAGAACAGUUACUAGCCCUUUUUCUGGUCUCUGGCACUGCAGGGCCUGGAGCAUAGUUUAUUUUUUGAGGUGGAGUCUCGCUCUGUCGCCCAGGCUGGAGUACAGUAGUGUGAUCUCGGCUCACUGCAACAUCUGCCUCCUGGGUUCAAGGGAUUCUUGUGUCUCAGCCUCGUGAGUAGCUGGAAUUACAGAUGUCUGCCACCAUGCUGGGCAAAUUUUUUUUUUUUUUUCUAAGACGGAGUCUCUGUCGCCCAGGCUGGAGUGCAGUGGCGUGAUCUCGGCUCACUGCAAGCUCCGCCUCCCGGGUUCACGCCAUUCUCCUGCCUCAGCCUCCCAAGUAGCUGGGACUACAAGCGCCUGCCACCACGCCUGGCUAAUUUUUUGUAUUUUUUAGUAGAGACGGGGUUUCACCGUGUUAGCCAGGCUGGUUUUGAACUCUUGACCUCAGGUGAUCCGCCUGCUUCGGCCUCCCGAAGUGCUGGGAUUAUAGGCGUGAGCCACUGCGCCUGGCCAUACUUUUUACUCCCCUCUAACCUUCAGCACCAGUUCCCAUUCCAUGUUGAUCUAGAACAGAGUAUCCCAUCCCAACACACUGUGGACCCAAGUACCAGCUCCCAGUGUGCCUUGUGCCAGAAAACUAGUUUUCAAAUGCGUUAAACUCAAGUUCCAUUUCCUAAAAUUCUUUACCAGAGCAGAAUGAGGUCAUGUUCAAUGUGAAUUGGGACGUGCCAAUUUGAAGUAAUGCAGAAACGAUAUCUUGCCUUAUGUGCAGGUCUGAAACAAAGCAAAUCCCUCUAACAUAAAGGAAAAGAAAAAUGGAAUUGCCUAAUUCCAAAGCUGCAUCAGCUGAAUGCAUUGUGGACUGUUGCUGUUGAGCGUGGGGUGGGGUGCCACCAUGCAGGCUUUGAAUUCUUUUUUUUUUUUGAGACAGAGUCUCGCUCUGUCACCCAGGCUGGAGUGCAGUGGCGCGAUCUCAGCUCACUACAACCUCCACCUCCCAGGCUCAAGCGAUUCUCCUGCCACAGCCUCCCAAGUAGCUGGGACUACAGUUGUGCACCAUCACGCCCAGCUAAUUUUUCUAGUUUUUGUAGAGAUGGGUUUUUUUCACCAUGUUGCCCAGACUGGUCUCAAACUCUUGGGCUCAAGUGAUCCGCCCGCCUCAGCCUCACAAAGUGCUGGGAUUACAGACGUGAGCCACCACACCCGGCUAUCUUUCUUCCUUUUAACAUGGGCCCCACGCCUGGCCUCUGUUCCUGCAAACUGACUCCCUACCCCAACCACCUCUUUUUCUCUCCACAGUCCAGGGACCUUGACCCAGCCCCUCUCAGCAGACGCUUCAUGAUAGGAAGGACUGAAAAGUCUUGUGGACACCUGGUCUUUCCCUGAUGUUCUCGUGGCUGCUGUUGGGGGCAGAGAUUGACGCCCCCGGUCUUUGCCUCUGAGCGGGAGAGUCUGUGUGUAUGUGUCUUCCCCGGAAUCCACACCACCCCACCCUCCUCCUGUCCCGUGGUUUCAUCAUAUCUCUUUGCAUACCCCAUGUCUUCCCCAGUUGUCCCCUGGAGUUUGGGGGGACAUCCCGCCUCAGGCAUCCUUCUCAAGGGGAAGCCAAGAGAGGCAUCAGGAUGGGUGGGUUUCUGAUUGUGGCAACGUUUGCAACCGUUCACGAUUCAAUAAAUAUUGGAUGAAUUUAAC